CUCAGGACGAACGCUGGCGGCGUGCUUAACACAUGCAAGUCGAGCGGUAAGGCCCUUCGGGGUACACGAGCGGCGAACGGGUGAGUAACACGUGAGCAACCUGCCCCUGACUCCGGGAUAAGCGGUGGAAACGCCGUCUAAUACCGGAUACGACCCUCCUCCGCAUGGUGGGGGGUGGAAAGUUUUUCGGUCGGGGAUGGGCUCGCGGCCUAUCAGCUUGUUGGUGGGGUAACGGCCUACCAAGGCGAUUACGGGUAGCCGGCCUGAGAGGGCGACCGGCCACACUGGGACUGAGACACGGCCCAGACUCCUGCGGGAGGCAGCAGUGGGGAAUAUUGCGCAAUGGGCGAAAGCCUGACGCAGCGACGCCGCGUGGGGGAUGACGGCCUUCGGGUUGUAAACCUCUUUUACCACUCACGCAGGCCCCGGGUUCUCCCGGGGUUGACGGUAGGUGGGGAAUAAGGACCGGCUAACUACGUGCCAGCAGCCGCGGUAAUACGUAGGGUCCGAGCGUUGUCCGGAAUUAUUGGGCGUAAAGAGCUCGUAGGCGGCGUGUCGCGUCUGCUGUGAAAGACCGGGGCUUAACCCCGGUUCUGCAGUGGAUACGGGCAUGCUAGAGGUAGGUAGGGGAGACUGGAAUUCCUGGUGUAGCGGUGAAAUGCGCAGAUAUCAGGAGGAACACCGGUGGCGAAGGCGGGUCUCUGGGCCUUACCUGACGCUGAGGAGCGAAAGCAUGGGGAGCGAACAGGAUUAGAUACCCUGGUAGUCCAUGCCGUAAACGUUGGGCGCUAGGUGUGGGGACUUUCCACGGUUUCCGCGCCGUAGCUAACGCAUUAAGCGCCCCGCCUGGGGAGUACGGCCGCAAGGCUAAAACUCAAAGGAAUUGACGGGGGCCCGCACAAGCGGCGGAGCAUGUUGCUUAAUUCGACGCAACGCGAAGAACCUUACCAAGGUUUGACAUCACCCGUGGACCUGUAGAGAUACAGGGUCAUUUGGUUGGCGGGUGACAGGUGGUGCAUGGCUGUCGUCAGCUCGUGUCGUGAGAUGUUGGGUUAAGUCCCGCAACGAGCGCAACCCUUGUUCCAUGUUGCCAGCACGUAAUGGUGGGGACUCAUGGGAGACUGCCGGGGUCAACUCGGAGGAAGGUGGGGACGACGUCAAGUCAUCAUGCCCCUUAUGUCUUGGGCUGCAAACAUGCUACAAUGGCCGGUACAAUGGGCGUGCGAUACCGUGAGGUGGAGCGAAUCCCUAAAAGCCGGUCUCAGUUCGGAUUGGGGUCUGCAACUCGACCCCAUGAAGGUGGAGUCGCUAG
rnacentral:rRNA from 1 species